rnacentral:misc_RNA from 1 species
CUGCUGUGUUUAAAAGUUGAAGUUGUUCAUGUACAUGUAUGGCAUCACCCUUACUUUAUUCGAAAAUUUAUCUUGUUAAAAUGGUACCACGUUUCAUCUAGCAAAAAACAAAAGAACAGAAAUAACAACAUGAAUAGCACAGCAUGAAAACAACCAACAGUAUUUCUUUUCAAUUUUAUUAAUCUUCUUCCCCUUAUUUGCUACGAACAAUUUUUUUUGCAGAUUAGAAAGCUCAUUCUUAUUAUAUACAUGUACAUACAUAGACUAUAUUUUUCCAUGACAAAAGCUAGACCAAGGUUAUAUUAGUAUAUUUUUCUCAUUCAUUCAAUUGGAUGUGCCUUUUGCUUGUUAUACCAGUUAAAUAAAUAUUUUAUAAACCUG